rnacentral:rRNA from 1 species
UACGUAGGGACCAAGCGUUGUUCGGAUUUACUGGGCGUAAAGGGCGCGUAGGCGGCUUGUCAAGUCACUUGUGAAAUCUCUGGGCUUAACCCAGAACGGCCAAGUGAAACUGACAUGCUAGAGUGCAGAAGGGGCAAUCGGAAUUCUUGGUGUAGCGGUGAAAUGCGUAGAUAUCAGGAGGAACACCGAUGGCGAAGGCAGGUCUCUGGGCCAUAACUGACGCUGAGAAGCGAAAGCAUGGGGAGCGAACAGG